GACGAACGCUGGCGGCGUGCUUAACACAUGCAAGUCGAACGGAAAGGCCCUGCUUUUGUGGGGUGCUCGAGUGGCGAACGGGUGAGUAACACGUGAGUAACCUGCCCUUGACUUUGGGAUAACUUCAGGAAACUGGGGCUAAUACCGGAUAGGAGCUCCUGCUGCAUGGUGGGGGUCGGAAAGUUUCGGCGGUUGGGGAUGGACUCGCGGCUUAUCAGCUUGUUGGUGGGGUAGUGGCUUACCAAGGCUUUGACGGGUAGCCGGCCUGAGAGGGUGACCGGCCACAUUGGGACUGAGAUACGGCCCAGACUCCUACGGGAGGCAGCAGUGGGGAAUAUUGCACAAUGGGCGGAAGCCUGAUGCAGCAACGCCGCGUGCGGGAUGACGGCCUUCGGGUUGUAAACCGCUUUCGCCUGUGACGAAGCGUGGGUGACGGUAAUGGGUAAAGAAGCACCGGCUAACUACGUG
rnacentral:rRNA from 1 species